UACGUAGGAUGCAAGCGUUUGUCCGGAAUUAUUGGGCGUAAAGAGCGCGCAGGCGGUAACUCAAGUCAGAUGUGAAAUAUCCGGGCUUAACCCGGAGGGGUCAUUUGAAACUGAGUAACUAGAGUACAGCAGAGGAUAGCGGAAUUCCCGGUGUAGUGGUGAAAUGCGUAGAUAUCGGGAGGAACACCAGUGGCGAAAGGCGGCUAUCUGGGCUGAAACUGACGCUGAGGCGCGAAGGCUAGGGGAGCAACAGG
rnacentral:rRNA from 1 species